rnacentral:rRNA from 1 species
UACGGAGGAUCCGAGCGUUAUCCGGAUUUAUUGGGUUUAAAGGGUGCGCAGGCGGGAGAUUAAGUCGGCGGUGAAAUUUUGCAGCUCAACUGUAAAAGUGCCUUCGAAAUUGGUUUCCUUGAGUGUGGAUGAAGUAGGCGGAAUUUGUGGUGUAGCGGUGAAAUGCAUAGAUAUCACGAGGAACUCCGAUUGCGCAGGCAGCUUACUAAACUACUACUGACGCUCAGGCACGAAGGCGUGGGGAUCAAACAGGAUUAGAUACCCCUGUA